UACGUAGGGUCCGAGCGUUGUCCGGAAUACUGGGCGUAAAGCGCGCGCAGGCGGUUCGGCAAGUCCAUGGUGAAAGCGCCCGGCUCAACUGGGCGAGUGCCGUGGGGACUGCCGAGCUGGAGGGGAGCAGAGGCGAGUGAAUUCCGGGUGUAGUGGUGAAAUGCGUAGAGAUCGUAAGGAAGACCAGUGGCGAAGGCGGCAUCCUGGCCCAGAACUGACGCUGAGGCGCGAGAGCGUGGGGAGCGAACCGG
rnacentral:rRNA from 1 species